ACACUGACGGAAGAACUGAAGAACGAACAGAUGAAGGAACCAAAUAGCGCCACGUGCGUCCACCUUUUGUUCCUUUAUGUUCGUCCUUUGGUUCCUCCGUCAGCGUAACACUAAGCGCAAUACAAUCAUGAUCAUCCACCAACUAGC
rnacentral:lncRNA from 1 species